GCAGGUACANCGGGAAGCCAGGCGGCGACGCCGAGCGGAACCCGAAAACCUGUCUCAGUUCGGAUCGGAGUCUGCAACCCGACUCCGUGAAGCUGGAUUCGCUAGUAAUCGCGCAUCAGCCAUGGCGCGGUGAAUACGUUCCCGGGCCUUGUACACACCGCCCGUCAAGCCAUGGAAGCCGGGGGUGCCUGAAGUGUGCAGCCGCAAGGAGCGCCCUAAGGUAAAACCGGUGACUGGGGCUAAGUCGUAACAAGGUACC
rnacentral:rRNA from 1 species